rnacentral:rRNA from 1 species
CUACGGGGAGCUCCAGUGAGGAAUAUUGCACAAUGGGGGGAACCCUGAUGCAGCAACGCCGCGUGGAGGAUGACGCAUUUCGGUGUGUAAACUCCUUUUAUAUGUCAAGAAAAUGACGGUAGCAUAUGAAUAAGCACCGGCUAACUCCGUGCCAGCAGCCGCGGUAAUACGGAGGGUGCAAGCGUUACUCGGAAUCACUGGGCGUAAAGGACGCGUAGGCGGGUUGGGAAGUCAGGUGUGAAAUCCUACAGCUUAACUGUAGAACUGCACUUGAAACUUCUAAUCUAGAGUAUGGGAGGGGGAGAUGGAAUUAGUGGUGUAGGGGUAAAAUCCGUAGAUAUCACUAGGAAUACCUAAAGCGAAGGCGAUCUCCUGGAACAUUACUGACGCUAAGGCGUGAAAGCGUGGGGAGCAAACAGGAUUAGAUACCCCUGUAGUC